rnacentral:lncRNA from 1 species
CUGUCUCAGCCUCUCAGAAGAGAACAUCUUCAUAGGAGAGGAGCUCUAGGAACUGAGAAUGCAGGAAAUUGGAAGAAAUAUACAUUAAUAGCCAAGAAUUUAGACAGGACUGGGGAGCCAGGAACAAACAUUUGAGAUGUUGGGCUUUUAAUGGAGUUGCCACGGAUGACAGCAUCAUGAGAAAUGAGGUUUAAAAAUGGAGGAUUGUUCGAGGAGGGAGGAGGGCUGAUCUGAAAGCCACAAGGAGGACAAAUGGAACACCUACCCCCACUACAGGCUGGAAGGAAACAUGGAUGAACAUGGCCAGGGAGAGAGGAAAAGGAUGAAAGAACAAGGUGCCUACCAUGGAGGAUGCAAAAGAAAUUUUUCCCCGAGAACUGUAGUCCCAGCUAUCUCCUCUGCAGAACUCUGUGCUAAUGAUAGAAUUUGCAUACUAAUGAUAAUUGCAACCAAGAAAGCUGUAUUCUCUUUCUACUCGAGGUAAUUGAAUAAAGAAGUGCUGUGGGGCAAUUACUGCAGUUAGUUAUAGAAAAUUCUCUGAAAAAUAAGACCAAAACAUAUAUACUCAAAUUCAGUAUGAUUGCAUUUAUCAACAUUAUUUGCUUCUUUUAAAUCAUAAUAAUAAUA